rnacentral:rRNA from 1 species
UACGAAGGGGGCUAGCGUUGCUCGGAAUCACUGGGCGUAAAGCGCACGUAGGCGGCUUGUUAAGUCAGGGGUGAAAUCCUGGAGCUCAACUCCAGAACUGCCUUUGAUACUGGCGAGCUCGAGUCCGGGAGAGGUGAGUGGAACUGCGAGUGUAGAGGUGAAAUUCGUAGAUAUUCGCAAGAACACCAGUGGCGAAGGCGGCUCACUGGCCCGGUACUGACGCUGAGACGCGAAAGCGUGGGGAGCGAACAGG